rnacentral:rRNA from 1 species
UUGACCUCGGAUCAGGUAGGAAUACCCGCUGAACUUAAGCAUAUCAAUAAGCGGAGGAAAAGAAACCAACAGGGAUUGCCCUAGUAACGGCGAGUGAAGCGGCAACAGCUCAAAUUUGAAAUCUGGCCUCGGCCCGAGUUGUAAUUUGCAGAGGAUGUUUCUGGCGCGGUGCCUUCCGAGUUCCCUGGAACGGGACGCCACAGAGGGUGAGAGCCCCGUAUGGUUGGACACCAAGCCUGUGUGAAACUCCUUCGACGAGUCGAGUAGUUUGGGAAUGCUGCUCAAAAUGGGAGGUAAAUCUCUUCUAAAGCUAAAUACCGGCCAGAGACCGAUAGCGCACAAGUAGAGUGAUCGAAAGAUGAAAAGCACCUUGAAAAGGGGGUUAAACAGUACGUGAAAUUGUUGAAAGGGAAGCGCUUGUGACCAGACUUGCGCCGGGCGGUUCAUCCGGGGUUCUCCCCGGUGCACUCCGCCCGGGUCAGGCCAGCAUCGGUUCUCGUUGGGGGAUAAGAACGGCAGGAACGUGGCCCUCCCUCUGGGAGGGUGUUAUAGCCUGUCGUACGAUACCCUGAUGGGGACCGAGGUUCGCGCUCCGCAAGGAUGCUGGCGUAAUGGUCAUCAGCGACCCGUCUUGAAACACGGACCAAGGAGUCGUCCAUUAGAGCGAGCGUUUGGGUGUCAAACCCGCACGCGUAAUGAAAGUGAAAUUAGGUGAGAGCUUCGGCGCAUCAUCGACCGAUCCUGAUGUUCUCGGAUGGAUUUGAGUAAGAGUUUUAACGGACGGACCCGAAAGACAGUGAACUAUGCUUGUAUAGGGUGAAGCCAGAGGAAACUCUGGUGGAGGCUCGCAGCGGUUCUGACGUGCAAAUCGAUCGUCAAAUAUGAGCA